UACGUAGGGUGCAAGCGUUCAUCGGAAUUACUGGGCGUAAAGCGUGCGCAGGCGGUGAUGUAAGACCGUUGUGAAAUCCCCGGGCUCAACCUGGGAACUGCAUCUGUGACUGCAUCGCUGGAGUGCGGCAGAGGGGGAUGGAAUUCCGCGUGUAGCAGUGAAAUGCGUAGAUAUGCGGAGGAACACCGAUGGCGAAGGCAAUCCCCUGGGCCUGCACUGACGCUCAUGCACGAAAGCGUGGGGAGCAAACAGG
rnacentral:rRNA from 1 species